AGAAGAAAUUUAUCAUGAACAAUGGCCAGAUUAUGUAAAGCAACUAAGAACACGAUAUUCAGAAACUACAAUUGAUGCACUGGAAAUGAUGGAUGAUGAUAAAAUUGAUCUUGAUUUGAUAGCAGCAUUAAUCAGAUAUAUUGCUCUUGAAGAAGAGGAAGGCGCAAUUCUAGUAUUUCU